rnacentral:rRNA from 1 species
GAUGAACGCUGGCGGCGUGCCUAAUACAUGCAAGUCGAGCGAACAGACGAGGAGCUUGCUCCUCUGACGUUAGCGGCGGACGGGUGAGUAACACGUGGAUAACCUACCUAUAAGACUGGGAUAACUUCGGGAAACCGGAGCUAAUACCGGAUAAUAUAUUGAACCGCAUGGUUCAAUAGUGAAAGACGGUUUUGCUGUCACUUAUAGAUGGAUCCGCGCCGCAUUAGCUAGUUGGUAAGGUAACGGCUUACCAAGGCAACGAUGCGUAGCCGACCUGAGAGGGUGAUCGGCCACACUGGAGCUGAGACGCGGACCAGACUCCUACGGGAGGCAGCAGUAGGGAAUCUUCCGCAAUGGGCGAAAGCUUGACGGAGCAACGCCGCGUGAGUGAUGAAGGUCUUCGGAUCGUAAAACUCGGUUAUUAGGGAAGAACAAAUGUGUAAGUAACUAUGCACGUCGUGACGGUACCUAAUCAGAAAGCCACGGCUAACUACGUG